GGCGGCUUAUCAAGUCUGCUGUUAAAGCGUGGAGCUUAACUCCAUCAUGGCAGUGGAAACUGAUAGGCUUGAGUAUGGUAGGGGCAGAGGGAAUUCCCGGUGUAGCGGUGAAAUGCGUAGAUAUCGGGAAGAACACCAGUGGCGAAGGCGCUCUGCUGGGCCAUUACUGACGCUCAUGGACGAAAGCCAGGGGAGCGAAAGGGAUUAGAUACCCCUGUAGUCCUGGCCGUAAACGAUGAACACUAGGUGUCGGGGGAAUCGACCCCUUCGGUGUCGUAGCUAACGCGUUAAGUGUUCCGCCUGGGGAGUACGCACGCAAGUGUGAAACUCAAAGGAAUUGACGGGGGCCCGCACAAGCGGUGGAGUAUGUGGUUUAAUUCGAUGCAACGCGAAGAACCUUACCAGGGUUUGACAUCCUGCGAACCUCUUAGAAAUUUGAGGGUGCCUUCGGGAAUGCAGUGACAGGUGGUGCAUGGCUGUCGUCAGCUCGUGUCGUGAGAUGUUGGGUUAAGUCCCGCAACGAGCGCAACCCACGUUUUUAGUUGCCAGCAUUUAGUUGGGCACUCUAGAAAGACCGCCGGUGAUAAACCGGAGGAAGGUGUGGAUGACGUCAAGUCAUCAUGCCCCUUACACCCUGGGCUACACACGUACUACAAUGCUACGGACAAAGGGCAGCAAACUCGCGAGAGCUAGCAAAUCCCAUAAACCGUGGCUCAGUUCAGAUCGUAGGCUGCAACUCGCCUACGUGAAGUAGGAAUCGCUAGUAAUCGCAGGUCAGCAUACUGCGGUGAAUACGUUCCCGGGCCUUGUACACACCGCCCGUCACACCAUGGAAGUUGGCCAUGCCCGAAGUCGUUACUCCAACCCUUGUGGAGGAGGAUGCCGAAGGUAGGGCUAAU
rnacentral:rRNA from 1 species